AACACUGUUAACCUGCGGUACCUGCGGAGGGAUCAUUACAAGUGACCCCGGUUUACCACCGGGAUGUUCAUAACCCUUUGUUGUCCGACUCUGUUGCCUCCGGGGCGACCCUGCCUUCGGGCGGGGGCUCCGGGUGGACACUUCAAACUCUUGCGUAACUUUGCAGUCUGAGUAAACUUAAUUAAUAAAUUAAAACUUUUAACAAUGGAUCU
rnacentral:misc_RNA from 1 species